rnacentral:rRNA from 1 species
UACGAGUGCUCCAAGCGUUAUCCGGAAUUAUUGGGCGUAAAGGGUGUGUAGGUGGUUAUGUUAGUCUUUUGUCAAAACCUUCGGCUUAACCGAAGAUCUGCAGGAGAAACGGCAUGACUAGAGGAUGCGAGAGGUGAAUGGAACUCAUGGAGUAGGGGUGAAAUCCGUUGAUAUCAUGGGGAACACCAAAUGCGAAGGCAAUUCACUGGCGCACUCCUGACACUGAAACACGAAAGCGUAGGUAGCGAAUGGG